AUCCCAUGAUGAGGACACUUAUGAAGUAAUUCCUUAAAACUUUCCCAUACCUCGUAUAAAGACUCGUCAUCUGAUGGUUGGAAAGUAGUUAUCUAAUUACGUAACAUU
rfam:Gossypium raimondii chromosome 7, whole genome shotgun sequence.